rnacentral:rRNA from 1 species
CCUACGGGAGGCAGCAGUGAGGAAUAUUGGUCAAUGGGCGGAAGCCUGAACCAGCCAAGCCGCGUGAAGGAAGAAGGCGCCAGGCGUCGUAAACUUCUUUUGUCGGGGAACAAAGGGCGCCACGUGUGGCGUUUUGAGUGUACCCGAAGAAAAAGCAUCGGCUAACUCCGUGCCAGCAGCCGCGGUAAUACGGAGGGUGCGAGCGUUAACCGGAUUUUUUGGGUGUAAAGGGUGGGUAGGCGGUUCGGGAAGUUAGCAGGUAAAUGCCCGGGCGCAACCCCGGCCGAGCCGUUGAUACUGGCGGACUAGAGACGGCGAGAAGUACGCGGAAUGCGUGGUGUAGCGGUGAAAUGCAUAGAUAUCGCGAAGAACUCCGAUUGCGAAGGCAGCGUACCGGCGCCAGACUGACGCUGAGGCACGAAAGCGUGGGUAUCGAACAGGAUUAGAUACCCGAGUAGUC